UGCAGGUCCCAGCCGCCGCACUAAACCCAGCCAGUGCGGUGAUUGGACGCAGAUUCCGGGCCGUGGCGGCGGCGGGCGAUCCGAAAGAGGCUGGUGCUGGCUGCAUGGGGAGGCGGCGGCAGCGGGUGGACCCCGCGGCUGGGGCCCGGGCCGGGGCCCUGCCUGAGGCCAUCGCCGCGUUGAGUCGGUCGCUGCCCUCGGGACCCAGCCCCGAGAUCUUCCGCCGCGCCAAGUUCGACCGUCCGGAGGCGACCUCCGCGCUCUGGCAGCUCCUCUUCCGUGUGCUCUCGCCACUCCCUGUGGGCAACGCCUUGGCCUCGCUCGCCCUGGAGGCCCAAGCCCACUUGGUGAAGUCAGCACUAUGCUCCCAGGGCUACCCGAGGCUAGCACUGGCACAACUACCUGAGGAUGGCUCGCAGGGCAGUCGGGAGCUGCUGCUGGCUCUGUCCUGGCUCUUGGCCCGAGGACCUGUGCCUGAGCAGAUGCUGGCCCAGGCCCGAGUGCCUCUGGGUGACGAGAUGACUGUGUGCCAGUGUGAGGCCCUGGCCAGCCCUGGCCCACCUGCACCCCACAUGGAAGCAGAGGGUCCUGUGGAUGUCCGCCGUGUGCAGUGGCUGAUGGGAAAGCUGCAAUUCCGGUGGCGCCAGCUGGUGUCCAGUCAGCAGGAGCAGUGCGCCCUCCUGAGCAAGAUUCACCUGUACACGCGCGGCUGCCACAGCGACCAGAGCCUUGGCCAUCUGUCUGUCACUGAAGCAGAGAUGCUCAGGGACCCAGAGGGAGGCCAGCAGCUGCUGCAGACUCUGGAGCGUGAGAACCAGCGCUUGGAGGCUGUCCUGGCGUGGCGGCACACUGAGCUGGUCUUCUGGCGGUGGAUGGUGAGGAAGCCCGUGCAUCCCUCUCCUGGCAUCCCUUCCCACAGCAGCCCCCAGGUGGGGCGUUGGGGAUCUUCCUGUUUUCCAGACAGGAAGAGGGGCUUUCAGGGAGGCCACAGACCUAGCGUAGGCUCUUUCUAGGACUUCCGCUCGCCUUCUGGGGAGGCCCAGUGCUGCCCCCACCUCAGCUCCAUGGCCUUCUAGAGUGAGGCCUUU
rnacentral:sRNA from 1 species